GACGAACGCUGGCGGCGUGCUUAACACAUGCAAGUCGAACGGAAAGGCCCUGCUUUUGUGGGGUGCUCGAGUGGCGAACGGGUGAGUAACACGUGAGUAACCUGCCCUUGACUUUGGGAUAACUUCAGGAAACUGGGGCUAAUACCGGAUAGGAGCUCCUGCUGCAUGGUGGGGGUUGGAAAGUUUCGGCGGUUGGGGAUGGACUCGCGGCUUAUCAGCUUGUUGGUGGGGUAGUGGCUUACCAAGGCUUUGACGGGUAGCCGGCCUGAGAGGGUGACCGGCCACAUUGGGACUGAGAUACGGCCCAGACUACUACGGGAGGCAGCAGUGGGGAAUAUUGCACAAUGGGCGGAAGCCUGAUGCAGCAACGACGCGUGCGGGAUGACGGCCUUCGGGUUGUAAACCGCUUUCGCCUGUGACGAAGCGUGAGUGACGGUAAUGGGUAAAGAAGCACCGGCUAACUACGUG
rnacentral:rRNA from 1 species